UUGCUUUCUUGCUUGGGCAGGCGCUGCUCCUGCUUCCUUGCUUGCUUCGGUGAGUAAUUGCUGCUCCAGCUUGCCUGCUUGGGUGGGCGCUGCUCCUGCUUGCUUGCUUCGGUGAGUGCUGCUCCUGCUUGCUUGCAUGCUUGGGUGAGUGCUUCUCACCCAAAGCCUUUGGCAGGGUCCCUCAUCACAUCCUGCUCUCCAAGAUGGAGAGGUGUGGAUUUGAAGGAUGGACUGCUCGGUGGGUUAAGAAGUGCUCGGCUGGUCGCAGCCAAAGGGCUGUGCUCCAUGGUGCUGUGUCAGGGUGGAGGCCGGUGACGAGCGGUGUCCCCCAGGGCUCAGUCCUGGGCCCGGUGCUCUUCAGCAUCUUCACCAAUGACACAGACGAUGGCAUCGAGUGCACCCGCAGCAAGUUUGCAGAUGACACCGAGCUGAGCGGUGCAGCCGAUGCAUGGAGGGAAGGGAACCACCCAGAGGGACCCAGUGGGCGCACGAGAACCUCAUGAGGUUCAACAAGGCCAAGCGCAAGGUGCUGCACUCGGGCCGGGGCAAUCCCGGGUGUGCGUACAAAGAUGGGGGAAGAUCUCCCAGAGAGCAGCCCUGCAGAGAAGGACUUGGGGGUUCUGGUGGACGAGAAGCUGGGCAUGAGCCAGCAGCCAACCAUGUUCUGGGCUGCAUGAAAAGAGGAGCGGGCAGCAGGGACAGGGACGGGAUUGUCCCCUGCUACUGGGCUCCGGACAGGAGCUGGUCGACGUCGCUCGACACCCAUUGCAGCAAAUGGAGGUUUCUGCAUCCAGCGCAGGCCCUGCGCCCUCCCAGUGCUUAGCCCUCGUCCCCUACCGUGGGGGGCAGAGCUGGCCCUGGGAUGGGGCUUGGGUUAGGGAGGAGCUCAGGGCCCUCCCGGACCCCAUUCCUGUGCAGCCCGAUGCUUGCGAGCUGCCCGUGUCCAUCCUGGUGCCUGAAGCGGUGGACGCCAUUGAGGCCUUCGUGCAGAGCGCAGAGAAGCCGCAGGACAAGGAGCAGAGGAUGGAAUUCCUGCAGAGCAUCUGCACCGUCUGCAACACGGCGGUGGAGAGGAACCUGCCCUGCGGACUGAGCGCCUUCUGCUGCCGCAACAAGCUGGCUGAGAACAUCACGGAGCUGCUGGUAGAGGAGAAUCGGGGGAAGCUGUGCUUGGAACUGUGGCAGCUCGCCAUGGCCGCCAUCACCGCCCUCAGCGCGGUGAAGGCGGCCUUGGAGGACAGGAUGCGUCUGUUUGUCGUGUGCUUCCAGAGCAUCCUCUUUCCCUGGUGGCAGGAUCUGAACACCAACCUUUACAUCGAGGCCCUGAGGGCUCUGGACCAGAUGCUGCACGCCCUGGUGUUCGUCCACCCCGUGGCCAGCAUUGGCGAGGAGCUGCAGGGCCUCUUCCAGGUGCUGCUGCCUUUCACCUGCUCGCAGAACGCGGUCGCGCGCCACGGGGCGGUGAGCUGGAUCUGGAAGCUGAGCCAGUCGUUAGCGGACUUGUGCCAGGGCAGGCUCCCCGGCUUCUCAGGACUGAGCGGCUCGGUGCGCUUCCAAGCUCUCCAUGUGCCCGUGCUGGGGGAGCUGGUGGGAAAGCUGGUGCUGUGCUGCGCCGACCCGGAGAAGAAGCUGCGCUUUCACGCUUUGCGCGCCCUCCACCAACUCUACAGCUUCGUCCUGGAGAGAGCCCGCUGGGAAGCGCAGUCGGAGGAGCAGGAGAAAUCCAAGGAGUGGCAAGCUGAGCAAGAGUUCUGCGUCACCUGGACCACCAACACCUCGAUCAUUGUGGCGAAUUUUGUGAAGCACCUCCGCUCUUGGGAGAACACCGACCUCCUCCUCGUGGCGCUGCGGGGCAUGAGGGACCGCAGCAGCUACAACACCCAGGCGGCUGCCACCAUGCUGUCCGUCCUGAUGGUCCACCUCUACCCGACGGCCGACGACGUGCAGCGGAUCAUGGAGGAAAUCCACGAGAGCCGGAAGCUGAUCACGGAGCAGUGGGCACAGAGAUCCAUCAAGAACGCCCUGUGCUGGCUGACCGACUGCCACCCUGACGCGGUGACACGCAGCCUGCUGCGCUGCUGCCCCAACUGGGAAAGGUGCGCUGCCCCCACCCCAAGGACAGGGACCAGCAUCCCAUGUGGAGAGGGAUCUUCAGCCCACC
rnacentral:lncRNA from 1 species